rnacentral:rRNA from 1 species
GUGGGGAAUUUUGGACAAUGGGCGCAAGCCUGAUCCAGCCAUUCCGCGUGCAGGAUGAAGGCCUUCGGGUUGUAAACUGCUUUUGUACGGAACGAAAAGGUUCUCUCUAAUACAGGGGGCUGAUGACGGUACCGUAAGAAUAAGCACCGGCUAACUACGUGCCAGCAGCCGCGGUAAUACGUAGGGUGCAAGCGUUAAUCGGAAUUACUGUGCGUAAAGCGUGCGCAGGCGGCGAUGUAAGACAGAUGUGAAAUCCCCGGGCUCAACCUGGGAACUGCAUGUGUGACUGCAUUGCUGGAGUGCGGCAGAGGGGGAUGGAAUUCCGCGUGUAGCAGUGAAAUGCGUAGAUAUGCGGAGGAACACCGAUGGCGAAGGCAAUCCCCUGGGCCUGCACUGACGCUCAUGCACGAAAGCGUGGGGAGCAAACAGGAUUAGAAACCCUAGUAGUCC